UUAAGAAACCCAAAUCACAGUAGGAUAUGCCCUUUGCCACAGGGUUGGAAAGAUGCGGUUCGGUGAUUUUGAGUAGUCCGUUUUGUGUGUGUGUCCAGGGUGUAAGAAAAUGACUGCGCUUCGAGUCUUCAGGAGGCGCAAAGCCAGAGUGAUCGUGUCAUCUCGGGGCAACUGCGGCCGUGUGUCGACCUUUAGGUCUGGUGAACGGCUGCAGGCAGGGCCGGGAGGCGGUUGUUGGCGGAAGAUAAACACACGGGUCUGGACUGCAAGUUGCUCCUAGCGAGGGGUCGGUGGGGAUGAAAAGGCUUUGGGAAGACGGUGAUCGGAGGUGGUCAAAGGCCAGCGCUUGGGGUUGAGCGGCGAGGGCUGAGCAGGUCAGCGCAUAUGGGGGGUAGGAGGUCGGCGGGGCCCCGCGAGCAGCCCACUGCGGGCGCUUUGCUCCCGGCGGGGCCGCGAGCACCUGGAACCCCGCGGCCGCCUGGCUGCGCCUGACCCUCCGCCGGCGCCGCGCUCAGGCCUGGGCCGGCCCGGGAAUCAGCAGAGCCCUGGUGGCCGCCAGUCUUCUAAAGGCGCCCGGGUAGCGUGCGGGUCCUUGGCCUGAGCAUCCUCUGCUACCCCUCGCCCGGCUCUUCCCUCGUCUUCUCCCCCUCCUCGCUUCGUACCCACCCUGCAUCUACGCGCAUUCGCUCCUUCCUCCUCCGCAGUUUGGUUCCUGCGCGCCCCCUAGGUGCCCCUCCUCCCGCCCCGGGAACAGCCCCGGACCGGAGCGCUGCUGGGCGGUGAUGCUUCCGCCGGCCGCGACGCAGGGUGGGAUGCAGGGAAGAGUCAAGGGGGGCGAACCCCGGCCUUAGGGCGCACGCCGCAAGCUGCGCCCGCGCUUUUCGGCGCCAGAGUCCGCAGGGAUUUUCCGGCUCCCGAGGGCACUCCAAGCAUCUGAAGCAUCUCAGGCUUCAAGCAACCCUCCACUUUUUCGCCAGCAGACACCGGCUCCUGAGUUCCUCAGUCCUCCUCUUCCAGACCCCCACCAGGGCUUUUAACGUCCAGGAAGAUCGGAAAAGAAGGACGCACUGGCCUGCGGAUCUGAACGUAAGCCUUAUUGUGAAAUACAUCAUUAUUAUUAUAAUCAAUAAACUAAACCGUGUGUAGAGGGAGACGCCAGGUGAUGCAAGUUGUUUGGAUUCAGAAAUACGGACACCUGGGUUUUGCUCGAGGCCCUAACGUGCAGCAGUAUGACCUCACAAAAGAGACUCCCCUUUGGAACUUAACAAGUUUUCUUUCCUGUAAAAAGCCAGAGUUGGAAAUCACCUCCCUGGUUUAAAAGGAAACGUACCAACCCGCUUGGGUACCGUGGAGGACGGGCGCCACCUAGCGGGAAGUCCUGAGGGACGCGUGGCGCUCAGAGAAAGAGAGGCAAAAAAGAGGGCUUGAUUUCACAAAACGAAAUGUUUUUGCUCCGAGUUUUAUGUUUCUCAGUUUAACGUUGCCAGUGAUCUAAUAGAGGAGGUGUGCCAUUCUAAAAACUCACCGAGAGACAGUCCGGACCCUCACCGAUGACACAUUUCGCUCACAGGGAUGGGGAAAAGAUUGGGGCCCGGUGAGACCCCUAAGAUCCGCUUUAGAAUCGGGGGCGUUGCAGUGGGGACGGCCCAGAGACGCCCGGCCCAGCGCCUCCUUGAUUUCCCUCUGCUGUCUCCUCAGGCUGCCGCUGGAUGAGGAUUUGGGGUGCAUGAGGCCUGUGUGGCUUGUUGGAACCACAGGAAGGUUCUUCAGUACCUUCAAAUACUAAGUUCUCCAUAAGACUAGUUGGAUUUCAUCCUAACAGUAGAAAGUUCAGGCGUUACAGACAAACCUGUCUUCUUCCUUAGGUUUCAUUUUCUCAUUUGGGUUGUUUGUUCAAAAGGGGAUGGAGGAGGGUUGUGUGGAAUUUUAGGUGCUUGUAAAAUACAAAGAAAGUCUCAAUUUAUUAUAUUUCUCUAAGUAACUAUCGUGGGGACCUUUAUGGGUGUGAUGCCAGGUUCUCUUUGCAAAAUGUUCUGAUUGAUUUCCCCUUCUCUAGUCUCUUUCUUUCACUCAUGUAAUAUUCGACAGGUAUCUUCAGAGUGCUUGCGAUGCCUCAGGUACUGUUGAAGGCACCCUGCAAGGUGCUGCGCUCGACAGACUAACGUUCUAACGCAGGAACGACAUCAAGAAACAAAUGUCUAAACAAAGCAAUGGAGGAAGCGUCAGGUGGGCCAAGUGCCAUGAAGAAAAUGAAAAUACAGUGAGGUGACUGAGGGUGAUCUGGGGCUACUUCAGGUCCUUUGAAAUUUGAAGUGGAAAGAGGAGGAAGAGGUUUUUCAGACCGAGGGAAAAACAUGGGCAAAGGGCAUAUGGCAGAAAGGAUCAUACUUGCUCAAGGACCCAGCAGGAUGUGUCUGUGGCCUGAGUGUGCUGGGGGACGGGCAGAGUGGUCGGUGUUGGGGUCCAAGGGGUACCCAGAGACCAGACAGGGCGGGCCUUUAUAAAGCCACAGUAAGGAGUGUGAGCUUUUUUCUAAGUAUGAGGUGAAGUCAUGGGAAGACUUUAAUAAGCAAAGAGGUAUUUGAAUAUGAUUUACAUCUUAAAAAAGAUUAACAGAUGACCUCUGGCUAUAAAGGUUCUGGGAUGGCAAAAGGAAAAUCCGGGAGACCAGCUAGAAGCCAGUGGGUCCGGGCUGGAGGUGGUGACUUGUGUUAGGUAGUGCUGGACAUGGAGAGAAUGCGGAUUUGGCAUCUGUUUGGAUUGUAUUCUUUUUUUAAAAAAUCAUUUUAAAAAUCAAGAUACAUAACCAAAUUCACCACUUCAACCAUUUUUAAGUAUGCAGUUCAGUGGCAUUAUGGACAUUGACAUUGUUCUGUGGCUGUCACCACCAUCCCUCUGGAACACAUUUUCGUUUUGCAAAACUGGAACUCAUUAAACUCUGCCUAUCAAACGAUCCUCCAUUCUCUGGUAGCCUGCAUCCUGCAUGCAGCUUCCAUUCCCUUGGCUACUCUAAGUACCUUGGAUACGGGGAGUCAUUCAGUGUUUGUGUUUUUGUGACUGGCUUGUUUUACUUGACAUCAUGUCCAUAAGUUUCAUCCACAUGAUAGCAUGUGUCAGAAUUUCCUUCCUUUUUGAGAUUGAAUAAUGUUCCACUUAUGUGUGUACCACAUUUUGUUUAUCCAUUCACCCAUCAGUGGACCCUUGGGUUGCUUGUAAAUUUUCACUACUGUGAAUAAUGCUGCUAUGAGCACGGAUGUACAAACAUCUUCUGGACUCUGCUUGCGAUUAUUUUGGGUAUAUACCUAGAAAUGAAAUUGUUGGACUAUAUGCUGAUUCUGUGUUUAUUUUGUAAGGAAUCUCAGUACUAUUUUCCAUUAUGCCUGCACCAUUUUACAUUCCUAUUCACAUGACACGAAGGUUCUGAUUUCUCCACAUCCCUACCAACAUUCGUUAUUUUCUGCUGUUUCUGUUCUGCUGUUCAUACCUAAUGAUUGUAAAGAGAUAUUUCACUGUAGGUUUAAUUUUCAUUUCCCUAAUGAUUAGUGAUGUUGAUUAUCUUUUCAUAUGCUUAUUAGUCGAUUGUCUAUUUGGAGAUUUAGAGAUAUGUGUAUUCAUGUCCUUUGCCCAUUUUUGAAUUAGUUGUUUGGUUUUUGUUGUUGUGAUUGACUUUUAGUUCUCUAUAUGCUUUAGAUAUUAAUCUAGUAUCAGACAUAUAAUUUGAAAAUAUUAUAUGUCCAAGGCACCCUGCAGGGUGCUACGAUCAUUCUGUGGAUUGUUUGACAGUAUUCUUGAAGGACUUGAUGGAUUGAAUGGAGAGAUGAGGGAAAGGGAGGAAUUCGAGGUACCUCCUGGAGUUGGGUUUGGGUGACUAGCGACCAAAGGAGACUGGGACUCAAGUCACCAGUUCAGUAGACAGAAUCAGGAGAGUUCGAUGCUUGAGAAAGCCCAGAGAAGAGAGAGUGGCCCCAAGGAGGGAACACUGUACUGUGAUCAAAUAACAUGAGACAGGGUUGCGUCCUUUGGGUCUGGCAACAUGGAAAUCAUUAGUCAACUUGGUAAGGACCCGUCUGGCAAUGUGGGAAUGCGUCGGAAAGGAGACCAGGUUGGAGUGAGGUGAGAAGAGCAUGCUAUGGGGAAAAGUGGACAUCGUGGACACAGAUAACUUCUUAAAGAAGUUUGUCCAUGAAAAGGAGAGCAAUGAGGUGGAAGAUGGAGGGACCCUGGGUCCAGAGAUUUAUUUUUAGAUAGAAGAUGCUAGAAUAUGUUUCUAUACUGGUGUAAAUAAUCCAACAGAGAGGGACAGAUGAUAAUGCAGGAGAGAAGAGAAAACCACAGAAGCAAAGUCCUUGAGAAAGUGAGAGGGGUUGGGCUCCAGUGAUCACAAUGACGUGGGCGCUUGUAGGUUGGAUCAAGGUGACUGAUGGUCAAGUAUGAUAUCCAUGGCCAAGUUUACUGAGCACAUACUGUGAGCCAGGUACUGUUCAAGCGUUUGUGCUUAUUACUUCAAGUCUUUCAACAAGUAUGAGAUAAACUAAACAUGGAGAAUGGGGCAGGGGGUGGGGGACAGUGAGAAGUGAGAAGUAGUCAUUUUGGACAAAGUGAAAAGAAGAUACCAGGGUGGUAAGGUGAAACAGCUGAGCAGAGUUGAGUGCGUGUUUAAGAUCAUCCAUGAACAACCGUGUGACCAGUUAACAGAGGUGUACGCUUUACUCCCUUACUCAGGGUGAAAAGUAAAAAACCCAGCAUAAGGCGUGUAACAAGUGGGCUACCCACGGUUGGGGCAUCACUGGGCCAUUAGCAGAACACAAGAGCAUCCAGGGAUUUAAAGCUGGUCUGCAGGGGAAGGUUUAUAAUCCUAGAACCAUGGAAUCUAAGCUGGAUCAGGGGAAAAGUAAUGACAUGAGAAAAAUGAUUGAGUGAUAGAUUUAAGAUACAUGGAUUAAUUACAAGUCCUGGAAGAGUAAAACACUUGCUGGACCAUGAGCAUUUGGGAUAUGAGAUGGAAAGAGGCGUGGUCAUAGAUGUGGGGACUUACUCAAGAUGUCAGCGGUGCUCGGAUUGUUGGGACACCAAGGUCAAGGAUGAUGGCCAUGGGUGGGAGCUUUGAUUGGUGCUCACUGGAGGUGCUGUCCUGCCUUAUUUUCACUGAUGCCUAACACAGCACAUGAUUCCAUGAUUGCUGUUCCUCUGAAACCCCUCCAAGUCUGGCUCCAUGCUGGCUGCCGUGUUCUUCACUGUGG